rnacentral:rRNA from 1 species
GACGAACGCUGGCGGCGUGCUUAACACAUGCAAGUCGAACGGAAAGGCCCUGCUUGCAGGGUACUCGAGUGGCGAACGGGUGAGUAACACGUGGGUGAUCUGCCCUGCACUUCGGGAUAAGCCUGGGAAACUGGGUCUAAUACCGGAUAGGAGCCAUUUUUAGUGUGAUGGUUGGAAAGUUUUUUCGGUGUAGGAUGAGCUCGCGGCCUAUCAGCUUGUUGGUGGGGUAAUGGCCUACCAAGGCGGCGACGGGUAGCCGGCCUGAGAGGGUGGACGGCCACAUGGGGACUGAGAGACGGCCCAAACCCCUACGGGGGGCAGCAGGGGGGAAUUUUGCAAAAGGGGGGCAAGCCUGAUGCAGGGACGCCGGGUGGGGGAUGACGGCCUUCGGGUUGUAAACUCCUUUCGCUAGGGAAGAAGCUUUUUGUGACGGUACCUAGAUAAGAAGCAGCGGCUAACUACGU